UACGUGAGGGGCGAACGUUGUUCGGUGUCACUGGGCUUAAAGGGUGCGUAGGUGGUUGUGUAAGUAACGUGUGAAAUCCCUCGGCUUACCCGGGGAAUUGCAUGUUAUACUGCAUGACUUGAGGACUAAAGGGGGAAAAGGGAACUCCAGGUGUAGCGGUGAAAUGCGCAGAUAUCUGGGGGAAGGCCGGCGGCGAAGGCGCUUUUCUGGUUAGUACCUGACACUGAGGCACGAAAGCGUGGGGAGCAAACAGG
rnacentral:rRNA from 1 species